rnacentral:rRNA from 1 species
UACGUAGGGUGCAAGCGUUAUUCGGAUUUACUGGGCGUAAAGAGUGUGUAGGCGGUUUUAUAAGUCGAGUGUUAAAUCUGUGGGCUCAACCCGCAGGCUGUACUCGAGACUGUAAGACUUGAGAGUGGAAGAGGCAAGUGGAAUUUCUGGUGGAGCGGUUAAAUGCGUAGAUAUCAGAAGGAACACCAAUGGCGAAGGCAACUUGCUGGGCCAUUUCUGACGCUGAGACACGAAAGCGUGGGGAGCGAUCGGG